GCAGGCUCCUGGUACUGCAAGACAACCCCUGAUUACAAGAAGCUGUGAUGGGGGCCGGCUCAGAGACAAGCAGUAAUCAUCUCUCUCUUCGGCUACAAGACUAAGACAGCUCAACACUAUACCUUGGAUGUGCCACAGAGACUUUGAGCCAGCUUCUCUCUCCACUUGGACCACUCUUCCUCAAGAUGGCUACAUAUCCUGAUGAAUGAACAAACCUGCUCCUUCAAGUUGACUCAAAACACUCCUUUCCAGGGAGUCUUCUCCCUAUGACAAUUACAUUAUAAUCUCCUUUGUUUUGCACACACACACUUGUAGUGGUCACUAUUGUCUAAUGUAUUUUUAAAAAAUGACAUUCAUUGCCUUCCUCCUAGUUCAGGUUCCUAACUGCUUCCUUUAAUGUAGGAACUGAAGGCUGAGGGUCGUUGUUCUUGUCUGUUUUGUCCACUGAUACACAGUGCUUAAAACUGGGCCUAACACAAGAGGUAGUCUGUGCUUAUGAAACGAGAGACAGAAUGACCGGUAGUAAGGACCUGCCAUCCUACAAACACAUAGACACUGCUGAGAAGUAGUUCAGAGAACUCUGUUUUCCCUCUGGCCACGCUCAAGUCCCCAUGCCUUUAGGUUUUGGCCUUUAGUGCAUGACCUAUGGUGGCUGGCUAAAGUUGAGGGAAGCAGUUAGGAGCACGGGUUUGGAGGAAGAGUCGGAUGCACAUCUCUGCCCGUUUUCUUUCCUGGCUGUGUGGCUUGGUGGAAGUCAUCUUCUCCAUUGGGAGGCUGGAAUACAUGUGGAUGUGCAUAAAGUUCGGCCUGCAGGGCUAGCCCACAUACCAUCAGCUUGGAGGCAAGUGACCAAGGGCAGCAGUGACUCUGAGGAAUGUAGUGUUUUCCCCUAAUGGCUAUUUGAACUAUGAUCAGUGAAAGAAUUGAGGGAGGAAACCGUCCCCAGAUUCUCUUGUUAAUUAAAAAAAAAAAAAAAAAAAAAAAAA